CAUCAAACCAUAGUAGUGAAGAUAGGCUGCUGCCAGGGAAGCCAGACCAAAAAGGAACCAGUCCAUUCUUCGGUUGUCUUUGAUCGCCAGAUAUCCGUACAAAGCGUUGGCAGUCACGCAAAAGGUCGCCAGACUGUACAUUCUUGCUUCAUGAGCAUAGAUCAGCACGACCGGUGUAAAAAGGACGACACUU
rnacentral:misc_RNA from 1 species